UACGGAGGGUGCAAGCAUUAUCCGGAUUUACUGGGUUUAAAGGGUGUGUAGGCGGGUUUUUAAGUCAGUGGUGAAAUCUCCGGGCUCAACCCGGAAACUGCCAUUGAUACUAUUAGUCUUGAAUUUUGUUGAGGUAGGCGGAAUAAGUCAUGUAGCGGUGAAAUGCUUAGAUAUGACUUAGAACACCAAUUGCGAAGGCAGCUUGCUAAACAAACAUUGACGCUGAGGCACGAAAGCGUGGGGAUCAAACAGG
rnacentral:rRNA from 1 species